AUGAAACCAAGUGCGGCAGAAAUGGCAUCAGCUAUGAGCUUGGACCCGCUGCUGUAUCCCGGAUUCUGGCUGGUCGUCCUCGGUGCGGCUGUAGUCAGUGGUGUCAUCGGUGUCAUCGGCGUCGGCAUCGAUGGAGCAGUGGAGUUCACACUCGUGCUUGGCACGCUCACCGGCGGUGACGGUUCUUGUCCCGCUGGAAGGAGCCCUUCAAGACAGUUAUUGAUUCAAAGAGACAUUUCAGUAUGUAGCGAGUCCCUGGCUGAAGAAAACCAUUUUGCACAAAGAGAUCGAAUGGAGAAUUCCAGCUCUAAGUUAUACCUUGGCAGGCGCCGGCGGCGGCGGGGAGAUCGAGCCGGCAGAGGGAAGGCAGCAGCACGGCGCGGGACAUGUUGA
rnacentral:rRNA from 1 species